rnacentral:rRNA from 1 species
CAGCAGCCGCGGUAAUACGGAGGGUGCGAGCGUUAAUCGGAAUAACUGGGCGUAAAGGGCACGCAGUCGGUGACUUAAGUGAGGUGUGAAAGCCCCGGGCUUAACCUGGGAAUUGCGUUUCAUACUGGGUCGCUAGAGUACUUUAGGGAGGGGUAGAAUUCCACGUGUAGCGGUGAAAUGCGUAGAGAUGUGGAGGAAUACCGAAGGCGAAGGCAGCCCCUUGGGAAUGUACUGACGCUCAUGUGCGAAAGCGUGGGGAGCAAACAGGAUUAGAGACCCCUGUAGUCCCUGUCUCUUAUAA